ACUUAAAUUGAAGAGUUUGAUCAUGGCUCAGAUUGAACGCUGGCGGCAGGCCUAACACAUGCAAGUCGAGCGGUAGCACAGAGAGCUUGCUCUCGGGUGACGAGCGGCGGACGGGUGAGUAAUGUCUGGGAAACUGCCUGAUGGAGGGGGAUAACUACUGGAAACGGUAGCUAAUACCGCAUAACGUCGCAAGACCAAAGUGGGGGACCUUCGGGCCUCAUGCCAUCAGAUGUGCCCAGAUGGGAUUAGCUAGUAGGUGGGGUAACGGCUCACCUAGGCGACGAUCCCUAGCUGGUCUGAGAGGAUGACCAGCCACACUGGAACUGAGACACGGUCCAGACUCCUACGGGAGGCAGCAGUGGGGAAUAUUGCACAAUGGGCGCAAGCCUGAUGCAGCCAUGCCGCGUGUGUGAAGAAGGCCUUCGGGUUGUAAAGCACUUUCAGCGGGGAGGAAGGCG
rnacentral:rRNA from 2 species